GCCAGCAUGGCAUAGUGGUUUGAGUGUUGGACUAUGACAUUGGAGACCAGGGUUCGAUUCCCAGCUCAGCCA